CCAGACUCCACGGGAGGCAGCAGUGGGGAAUAUUGGACAAUGGGCGAAAGCCUGAUCCAGCCAUGCCGCGUGUGUGAAGAAGGUCUUCGGAUUGUAAAGCACUUUAAGUUGGGAGGAAGGGCAGUAAAUUAAUACUUUGCUGUUUUGACGUUACCGACAGAAUAAGCACCGGCUAACUCUGUGCCAGCAGCCGCGGUAAUACAGAGGGUGCAAGCGUUAAUCGGAAUUACUGGGCGUAAAGCGCGCGUAGGUGGUUUGUUAAGUUGGAUGUGAAAUCCCCGGGCUCAACCUGGGAACUGCAUUCAAAACUGACUGACUAGAGUAUGGUAGAGGGUGGUGGAAUUUCCUGUGUAGCGGUGAAAUGCGUAGAUAUAGGAAGGAACACCAGUGACGAAGGCGACCACCUGGACUAAUACUGACACUGAGGUGCGAAAGCGUGGGGAACAAACAGGAUUAGAUACCCUGGUAGUCCACGCCGUAAACGAUGUCAACUAGCCGUUGGAAGCCUUGAGCUUUUAGUGGCGCAGCUAACGCAUUAAGUUGACCGCCUGGGGAGUACGGCCGCAAGGUUAAAACUCAAAUGAAUUGACGGGGGCCCGCACAAG
rnacentral:rRNA from 1 species